AGCUUGACACUGAACAUUGAGCCUUGAUGUGUAGGAUAGGUGGGAGGCUUUGAAGUGUGGACGCCAGUCUGCAUGGAGCCGACCUUGAAAUACCACCCUUUAAUGUUUGAUGUUCUAACGUAGGCCCGUAAUCCGGGUUGCGGACAGUGUCUGGUGGGUAGUUUGACUGGGGCGGUCUCCUCCUAAAGAGUAACGGAGGAGCACGAAGGUUGGCUAAUCCUGGUCGGACAUCAGGAGGUUAGUGCAAUG
rnacentral:rRNA from 1 species